rnacentral:lncRNA from 1 species
CUUGUACUACUUUUCUUUGCAGCUAAGUCAUCAUUUAAUAGGAAGAACAUGCAAGUGGAACAAACUUAAUGAGUUUCCAUUUGUAGUUUAUAAUUCAUAAAACUAAUCUUUAAACUUUGGUUUGAGAGACCCUGAAGCACAGAAAUGCUUUGAAAGUUUUCAGAGAUAAUUCAUCACCCUCUGCAGAGGAGGGCUUUCAUUUCUGUGUGUUCCUUCUGAUUCCUUCCUGUGCAGUCCAGGCUCCAGACCUCCCUCAGCACUGUCCGGGGCAACACAGCUCUCCUGCAUUACCCCACCAUGGGGCAGCCAGAGACCGUCCUGAAAAGCAGCAUCAUGUCAGACUCCAGCCCUCUAGUUCUUCUCCCUCUCUGUCCACUUUGCUCUAGAAACUUCUUAGAAGGACAAGGUGGACCAGUGUUUCUCCCCUGGCCUGGGCCACCACUGGACAAUCCUGCAACUCUGAGUGCCAUGGCUGCACAUCGAAGGACUUCUGUCUGCCGUGAGGGAGAGAACAAGGAGUCAGAUUUGAACUCUAGCUCUACCUCCUUAUUGCCUUUGGGACACUGUCUACCAAAUGGAAUCACAAGUGUUUGCUGUCAUCAUCAUCUUCUUCAACGCCACCACCACCCACUAUCAUCACCAUCAUCAUCACCACGGACCAGAAGAGAUCAUGCCGAGUUAUCAGCAGCUUGA